UUAAAAAGAUGUUUACGAUAGAUUUCCAGCAUGUGGUAGAUACAUGACGGAUGUUACUUUUCCUGCUCUCUGCCCUUCCCCCUGGAAUGAGGGGCCUCAAGCAGAGUCUUCAUGAGAUAGUUAAUACCCUUUCUUCCUUUCUCUGAAUUCCUGAAGUCCCGAGAGUGAAAGCCAAGCUAUCUGGAGACAGCUAUACACGAGUAUCCUGUGUUGCUCUGAAUAGUUUUAUAUGUCGGUCUUUGUCUUCCCAACAGGCUUGUUGGCAUUCCAGGAAAGCCCUUUACUUUGUUAUUCAUUCAACGAAUAUGUGUUGGAAGAGAACUCUAGGCCACCGGGGAGUCAGCUGGGGAGGAAGCAGCCAAGGUUCCUGUUCUCACGAAGCUCACCAGCAGAGUGGACAGAUGGGCCCUCGUCCACUGCGCAGGGAGCAGCAGCGAGUUCCCCCAGUUGCGACGAGGGCUAUGACGGAAAAGUGUAGGCCAUCGUGAGAACAUAACAGGGGACUCUGGGACUCUGGGAAGCCUCCUCUCGGUAAAUGGAGGAAGAUGAGGCCAGAGAAGUUGGGUCAGUCAUUCAAAGUCACACAGCAGAAACUAUUAUUACUGGAAUCACAGACAGAGCCAUGGAAGGAUUAACCCUGGUUUUCUCAUCCGGAUCAUGGAGAUAAUCACCUACCUCAUUAAAUUGUUGAGAUGAAAUAAAGUAACAAAGG